CGGGAAUCGGGCUUUGCGGGUCCUUGCAGCUUGCUCCCUGAAGCCCGAAGCCCACCGGACGGGCAUGCAGGGAGGGACCAUACGCGGAUACCGGGCAUGGCAGGAUAGUGCAGGCGAUGGUGUCUUUGAAACCUCCGCGGGCGUCGCCCCUUUGCAGGCAUAGCCCGCUGUCUGAAAAAAAAAAACAAAACAACACCUGAGGACCAUCAUCUCCUCCUUCCCUGCUUCAAGAGGAAAGGAAAAGCCUGAUGGCCUGCUCUCUCGAAGUGUUGCCUGGACACCCGGAGUCGAGUGCCAGCGGACACCAGGAGGAGAAGACUAGCGCCGGCCCACGUCCCUCUCCCCAGACCAGACCCCAUCAGAGGUAGCUGCUGGCAGCACGCUCCUCUGCCUUCUCCUGAGUGUGGCGGGGCGCCCAGGUUCGCAGGUAUUUGAGCUUGCUGAUAAAGAUGCAUCAAGUGCACCCAAGAUUUUGUAGAAAGCAUCUGGCAGCCCUGGUGUCUGACAGAGAAAACAACAGCGUCGGCUCGCAGGUGUCCCCUUUAUGCCGUGGCUGCCAGGAAAUUUGGAACCGGGUUCAGUGUUCUGGUGGUGUCAGCCAGCUCAUCUCGGCCCCAGGUCAGACAUUCAUCUCUUCUGCUGUUUAUUCUGGUGUUUAUCCAGCUGUCGGCGUUAAAAUUAAGUCCCCAGUCUACUUAAGUAGACAUCUCUGCAAUUCAAAGCACUGACUGUGGGCAGAGACGCCCACCUGACAAAAAGCCUACACUUCCGAAUCUAACCGGAGACCCGAGUGUCCCUUUCACUGUGCUGAUCUAUUGGAGGCCGGAUCUUGGGAUUUUGCGAUCGGCUUUUGAUUCAGGUUGAAACACAAGACACUGAUGGUUGGACAGCAUCAGCACCAGGAGGUGAAGGCUCAUUCUGGGGUAGGAAGGAAGACAACUCUGCACCUCCCAGUGCAAGAAAGGCUACCUAGUUAACAAAAGUCAGAUAUUGUCACUAAUGUGACUACAUUUGUACUCACAGACUGAGACUACAGGACAUUUGAGUUAUAUCCAAAAUACACGAGAAAAUGACGAGUGAAAUUGUGCAGGGUCCAAUCGGCGAAGUGAUUGACUGUAACCUAGAAUUUGGACAGGAGGUGACAUUUGUAUUGAAGAAUAGGACCCUAUAAGCCAAGGAGGGAAGACUGUAUGCAACAAUCUAAAGGGAGAAGGCAGAUGGCAUUUCAGGCUGCCUGAGUUCGUGCCUGCAUGUGUGCUAAGUCACCCUAUGGACUGAAGCCCGCUAGCUCCUCCAUCCAUGGGAUUCUCCAGGCAGGAAUACUGGAGUGGGUUGCCAUCCUCUUCUCCAGGGGAUCUUCCUAAUCCAAGGACCAAACCCGCAUCUUUUAUAUCUCCUGCAUUGGCAGCAUCAGAGUCUUUUCCAAUGAGUCAACUCUUCGCAUGAGGUGGCCAAAGUACUGGAGUUUCAGCUUUAGCAUCAUUCCUUCCAGAGAACACCCAGGACUGACCUCCUUUAGAAUGGACUGGUUGGAUGUCGUUGCAGUCGAAGGGACUCUCAAGAGUCUUCUCCAACACCACAGUUCAAAAGCAUCAAUUCUUCGGCACUCAGCUUUCUUUAUAGUCCAACUCUCACAUCCA
ensembl:lncRNA